GCACCUAUAGCUCAAUUGGAUAGAGCGCUUGUCUUCGGAACAAGAGGUUGCAAGUUCGAUUCUUGCUAGGUGCA
rnacentral:tRNA from 1 species